rnacentral:rRNA from 1 species
AUUGAACGCUGGCGGCAUGCUUUACACGUGCAAGUCGAACGGCAGCGCGGGCUUCGGCCUGGCGGCGAGUGGCGAACGGGUGAGUAAUGCAUCGGAACGUGCCCAGUAGUGGGGGAUAGCCCGGCGAAAGCCGGAUUCAUACCGCAUACGACCUGAGGGUGAAAGCGGGGGACCGAAAGGCCUCGCGCUAUUGGGGCGUCCGAUGUCGGAUUAGCUAGUUGGUGGGGUAAAGGCUUACCAAGGCGACGAUCCGUAGCUGGUCUGAGAGGACGACCAGCCACACUGGGACUGAGACACGGCCCAGACUCCUACGGGAGGCAGCAGUGGGGAAUAUUGGACAAUGGGGGCAAGCCUGAUCCAGCCAUGCCGCGUGCGGGAAGAAGGCCUUCGGGUUGUAAACCGCUUUUGUUCGGGAAGAAAUCCUCUGGGCUAAUACCCCGGGGGGAUGACGGUACCGGAAGAAUAAGCACCGGCUAACUACGUG